rnacentral:rRNA from 1 species
UACGUAGGAUGCAAGCGUUGUCCGGAAUUACUGGGCGUAAAGCGUGCGCAGGCGGUUCGUCAAGUCUUGUGUGAAAGCCCCGGGCUCAACCUGGGAAUGGCAUGGGAAACUGGCGAGCUGGAGUGCGGCAGAGGGGGGUGGAAUUCCGCGUGUAGCAGUGAAAUGCGUAGAGAUGCGGAGGAACACCGAUGGCGAAGGCAGCCCCCUGGGUCGACACUGACGCUCAGGCACGAAAGCGUGGGGAGCAAACAGG